AGAAUCAGAGGAUAGAGCAGACUGCAAAGGGAAGCUGAAUAGCCUUCUGUAGCACUCACCACCAGCAGCUCAGACAUCUGCAGCAUCAGGCAGCUAGGCAGCGCAGAGAGAAGUGUUCAUAUGAAUCUUCUGAAAUGGUCCUACCAGGACUGAAGUACUACAGAAGUACAACUCUGCCUGCCAUGGAAGCACUCUGUGACUCAUAGUCUGUUGCAACAUAGCACUCUCAAGUGGACCAGUGAAGGUGUGCCACAGGCUGUCUGUGGAACCAGACACAAAACACCACUGCUGCUCUCCCUGGGUAUAUGCCCACUCUACAUGAAAUCCAAAAGUCUCUU